UGCAAGUCGAGCGAAGCUUCGAGCUGAGCGGCGGACGGCUGAGUAAUACGUUGGUAGUUACCUCGCACUCGGGGAUAACACUGAGAAAUCAGUGCUAAUACCGGAUGGUCCCGUAAGGGUAAAGUUUUUACGGUGCGAGAGGCGCCUGCGUCCUAUCAGUUUGUUGGUGAGGUAACGGCUCACCAAGACUAUGACGGGUAGCUGGUCUGAGAGGAUGGCCAGCCAGAGGGAAACUGAGACACGGUUCCCACUCCUACGGGAGGCAGCAGUAAAGAAUCUUCCACAAUGGGCGAAAGCCUGAUGGAGCGACACCGCGUGCAGGACGACGGCCUUCGGGUUGUAAACUGCUUUUCUGGGGGAAAAAUUUUGAUUGUACCCUAGGAAUAAGCACCGGCAAAUCACGUGCCAGCAGCCGCGGUAAUACGUGAGGUGCAAACGUUACCCGGAAUUAUUGGGCGUAAAGCGUCCGCAGGUGGCGCAGCAAGUUGGAUAUUAAAUCUUGAGGCUCAACUUCAAGCUUGUGUCCAAAACUACUGUGCUAGAGAAAUGGAGAGGUGAAUGGAAUUCUGCAUGUAGGGGUAAAAUCCGUAGAUAUGCAGAGGAACACCAAAAGCGAAAGCAGUUCACUGGCCAUUUUCUGACACUCAUGGACGAAAGCGUGGGGAGCAAACGGGAUUAGAUACCCCGGUAGUCCACGCCGUAAACGAUGAUCACUCGAUGUUGGAAGUUCGACCCUUUCAGUGUCUAAGCAAACGCGAUAAGUGAUCCGCCUGAGGAGUACGGUCGCAAGAUUAAAACUCAAAGAAAUAGACGGGGACCCACACAAGCGGUGGAGCGUGUGGUUUAAUUCGAUAGUAAGCGAGGAACCUUACCAGGGCUUGACAUCUCGGGAAUCCACUGGAAACAGAGGAGUGCCGUAAGGAACU
rnacentral:rRNA from 1 species